CAGCCGCCGCGGGAAUACGGAGGGAGCUAGCGUUGUUCGGAAUUACUGGGCGUAAAGCGCACGUAGGCGGCUUUGUAAGUUAGAGGUGAAAGCCUGGGGCUCAACUCCAGAAUUGCCUUUAAGACUGCAUCGCUUGAACACGAGAGAGGUGAGUGGAAUUCCGAGUGUAGAGGUGAAAUUCGUAGAUAUUCGGAAGAACACCAGUGGCGAAGGCGGCUCACUGGCUCGUUGUUGACGCUGAGGUGCGAAAGCGUGGGGAGCAAACAGGAUUAGAUACCCCUGUAGUCCCUGUCUCUUAUAC
rnacentral:rRNA from 1 species